GGAUCAUUACUGAGUUUACGCUCUAUAACCCUUUGUGAACAUACCUAUAACUGUUGCUUCGGCGGGUAGGGUCUCCGUGACCCUCCCGGCCUCCCGCCCCCGGGCGGGUCGGCGCCCGCCGGAGGAUAACCAAACUCUGAUUUAACGACGUUUCUUCUGAGUGGUACAAGCAAAUAAUCAAAACUUUUAACAACGGAUCUCUUGGUUCUGGCAUCGAUGAAGAACGCAGCGAAAUGCGAUAAGUAAUGUGAAUUGCAGAAUUCAGUGAAUCAUCGAAUCUUUGAACGCACAUUGCGCCCGCCAGCAUUCUGGCGGGCAUGCCUGUUCGAGCGUCAUUUCAACCCUCAAGCUCUGCUUGGUGUUGGGGCCCUACAGCUGAUGUAGGCCCUCAAAGGUAGUGGCGGACCCUCCCGGAGCCUCCUUUGCGUAGUAACUUUACGUCUCGCACUGGGAUCCGGAGGGACUCUUGCCGUAAAACCCCCAAUUUUCCAAAGGUUGACCUCGGAUCAG
rnacentral:rRNA from 1 species